GGUGAGUGAUGAAGGUUUCGGAUCGUAAACUCUGUUGUUAGGGAAGAACAAGUGUAAGUAACUGAUGGCACCUUGACGGUACCUAACCAGAAAGCCACGGCUAACUACGUGCCAGCAGCCGCGGUAAUACGUAGGUGGCAAGCGUUGUCCGGAAUUAUUGGGCGUAAAGCGCUCGCAGGCGGUUCUUUAAGUCUGAUGUGAAAUCUUACGGCUUAACCGUAAACGUGCAUUGGAAACUGGGGAACUUGAGUGCAGAAGAGGAGAGUGGAAUUCCACGUGUAGCGGUGAAAUGCGUAGAGAUGUGGAGGAACACCAGUGGCGAAGGCGACUCUCUGGUCUGUAACUGACGCUGAGGAGCGAAAGCGUGGGGAGCGAACAGGAUUAGAUACCCUGGUAGUCCACGCCGUAAACGAUGAGUGCUAAGUGUAACGGGGUAUCCGCCCCUUUAGUGCUGAAGUUAACGCAUUAAGCACUCCGCCUGCGGAGUACGGCCGCAAGGCUUGA
rnacentral:rRNA from 1 species